CAGCAGCCGCGGUAAUACGUAGGGUGCGAGCGUUAAUCGGAUUUACUGGGCGUAAAGCGUGCGCAGGCGGCCCGUUAAGACAGGUGUGAAAUCCCUGGGCUCAACCUAGGAAUUGCGCUUGUGACUGGCGGGCUCGAGUACGGUAGAGGGGGGUGGAAUUCCUGGUGUAGCAGUGAAAUGCGUAGAGAUCAGGAGGAACACCGAUGGCGAAGGCAGCCCCCUGGGCCUGUACUGACGCUCAUGCACGAAAGCGUGGGGAGCAAACAGGAUUAGAUACCCUGGUAGUCCACGCCCUAAACGAUGGGUACUAGCCGUUUGGUGCGCGAGAGCGCUGAGUGGCGAAGCUAACGCGUGAAGUACCCCGCCUGGGGAGUACGGCCGCAAGGUUGAAACUAAAAGGAAUUGGCGGG
rnacentral:rRNA from 1 species